CUGAGAUUGCUCUAUUACACUCCAGCCUGGGAAACAAGGGGAAAACUCUGUCUUAAAAAAAUAAAUAAAGGCACUUGAUUCUAAUUAUAAGUAAUUUUGAUUAGCCUGAAGUCUUCAAAAGUUGCAAGAGUAGGGAGCAAAGACAGGCCGUCCUCCUUGCUAAGAAGGGAGCAGGCCUGUGGUGAAACUCAGGUGAAGGACACUCAAAGAUCAUUUGAGAUCCUGCUUGGAAUAACUGAGAUGGCUUGGUUCAGUCUAACUACUUAUUAUUAAGAGCCACAUAAGGAGGAAAAGCUCAAAAGCAAACCAAAAUUUAAAACAUGAGCAUGUUUAGUACAAAUUCACUUUGAAAGUUUGGAUGAAUUUGUUUAUCAACAUUGUACUAAGCUGGAAUAUGUGGGGCACUGUGUUCUUCCGACUGGCUGCCAAAAAGUUUAUAGCUACACAGCUCCAAUUUAACCAGCAGUCCCAACACAAACCUGCCAAUGCUCCUGGAUCAGAGAGCCUCCUGCCCACACACUACUUCUGAGAGCCAGUGGCUACCACAGAGGCAGUGGGCUGGAGCACUCUGCAAAGCCAAGGGGAAGGCACCAGGCUCCAUCCAGACACACUCCCUGUCCAUUAACAAAUAUAGUAGAUUGUGAUGAUCUAAAGCAUAGUGUUCUUACAGCACCUACAAUGGAAGUAUUUAUUUCUCUUUUUGGCCAGGAUGAAAGGGCCUGGAAAGGGGUGAACAUGUCCAGAUGACAACUCUGACAGACAGCUGAAGUCAUACACGCUAAGAAAACCAGGCUGUUCUCUUAAUCCCUCACGGGGUGGCGGGCUUGUAUUUCAAAGGGUUUAUCUGUCCAUUUAUUGUCCAGGGUGGGACACAAGUUAAUUCAGAACAAUGGCCAGAGAGCUAUAUGCCUCUCCAAUUGUUUAAAUUUUUUAGAAAGAUAAAAUUAGAGAAUUACAAUCCCUCUCAUUUUUCUUACAAACAAUAAAGUUUAAAGAAAACGAAAUAAGUUAUAUUCACAGUUUUCAAAGCUUUCCAAUAGUCCAUUAUUACUAUGCUGAUAUUCACUCUAAGACAUGUUUCAAAUAGGAAUCGCAUUAUCAUUUUUUAAAAACCUGAACACAACUGAAAUCCAAGAUACACUGUAAUUGUUUUUUUAUGUAUUCAACGUCUAAUAGUCUAUCAUUAGGGAAGCUAUUAAGCUUUAUUUUUUUAAAAAUGAAUCGUAUUUACAAUGUAGAACAAGUUUAUAAAAUUGGUGUGCAAAGUUAAUUGUAAAAGGAUAACACUAUUUGUUUAGAAACAAGCUGCCUCCCCACUUACAUUUUCUUAUUGAUAUAAAUUGGAGACAUAUACUAUUUAAAAAUAAUACUUUUUAAAUAGUAAAAUAUACAAGAGAUUCCUGAGCAUAACAAAAAUAUCUUGAAAAUAUGUGGCCAUUUGAAGUAUAAAAUAGCAAGUGUAAGAAUAGCAUGAUUGUAAAACUACUGUUUGAAGGCCUAUAAACAGUACAAAAUAGUUUGCCUUUUCUGACUGCAUAAUUAUACAUUAGUGCAAACAAAAACAUCUCAAAAUUUAAUGGCUACAAAUCUCAAAGGUUUGCAGAGGUGCGCAAAA